CCUACGGGAGGCUGCAGUGGGGAAUAUUGCACAAUGGGCGCAAGCCUGAUGCAGCCAUGCCGCGUGUGUGAAGAAGGCCUUCGGGUUGUAAAGCACUUUCAGCGGGGAGGAAGGCGGUGAGGUUAAUAACCUCAUCGAUUGACGUUACCCGCAGAAGAAGCACCGGCUAACUCCGUGCCAGCAGCCGCGGUAAUACGGAGGGUGCAAGCGUUAAUCGGAAUUACUGGGCGUAAAGCGCACGCAGGCGGUCUGUCAAGUCGGAUGUGAGAUCCCCGGGCUCAACCUGGGAACUGCAUUCGAAACUGGCAGGCUAGAGUCUUGUAGAGGGGGGUAGAAUUCCAGGUGUAGCGGUGAAAUGCGUAGAGAUCUGGAGGAAUACCGGUGGCGAAGGCGGCCCCCUGGACAAAGACUGACGCUCAGGUGCGAAAGCGUGGGGAGCAAACAGGAUUAGAUACCCUUGUAGUC
rnacentral:rRNA from 1 species